GUAGGGGGCCAAGCGUUACCCGGAUUUAUUGGGGCGUAAAGAGCUCGUAGGCGGCUUGGCAAGUCGGUCGUGAAAGUCCGAGGCUCAACCUCGGGAAUGCCGGGUCGAAACUGCCAUGGCUAGGGUUCGGUAGAGGAGAGUGGAAUUCUCGGUGUAGCGGUGAAAUGCGCAGAUAUCGAGAGGAACACCAGUAGCGAAGGCGGCUCUCUGGGCCGAUACCGACGCUGAGGAGCGAAAGCGUGGGGAGCAAACAGGAUUAGAUACCCUGGUAGUCCACGCCGUAAACGGUGAUCACUAGGUGUGGCGGACUCAUUGACGUCUGCUGUGCCGGCGCUAACGCAUUAAGUGAUCCGCCUGGGGAGUACGGCCGCAAGGCUA
rnacentral:rRNA from 1 species